rnacentral:rRNA from 1 species
UACAUGGGGUGCAAACGUUGCUCGGAAUCAUUGGGCGUAAAGCGCGCGUAGGCGGUUACUUAAGUCGGAUGUGAAAGCCCUCGGCUUAACUGAGGAAGUGCAUCCGAAACUGAGUAGCUGGAGUACGAAAGAGGGUCGCGGAAUUCCCGGUGUAGCGGUGAAAUGCGCAGAUAUCGGGAAGAACACCCGUGGCGAAGGCGGCUCUCUGGGACGGUACUGACGCUGAGACGCGAAAGCGUGGGGAGCGAACAGG